rnacentral:rRNA from 1 species
UUGAACGCUGGCGGCAGGCCUAACACCUGCAAGUCGAGCGGAUGAAGGGAGCUUGCUCCUGGAUUCAGCGGCGGACGGGUGAGUAAUGCCUAGGAAUCUGCCUGGUAGUGGGGGAUAACGUCCGGAAACGGGCGCUAAUACCGCAUACGUCCUGAGGGAGAAAGUGGGGGAUCUUCGGACCUCACGCUAUCAGAUGAGCCUAGGUCGGAUUAGCUAGUUGGUGGGGUAAAGGCCUACCAAGGCGACGAUCCGUAACUGGUCUGAGGAUGAUCAGUCACACUGGAACUGAGACACGGUCCAGACUCCUACGGGAGGCAGCAGUGGGGAAUAUUGGACAAUGGGCGAAAGCCUGAUCCAGCCAUGCCGCGUGUGUGAAGAAGGUCUUCGGAUUGUAAAGCACUUUAAGUUGGGAGGAAGGGCAGUAAGUUAAUACCUUGCUGUUUUGACGUUACCAACAGAAUAAGCACCGGCUAACUUCGUG